rnacentral:rRNA from 1 species
UAGGGAAUAUUGGACAAUGGGGGAAACCCUGAUCCAGCAAUGCCGCGUGAGUGAAGAAGGCCUUAGGGUUGUAAAGCUCUUUCGCCCGCGAAGAUAAUGACGGUAGCGGGAGAAGAAGCCCCGGCUAACUCCGUGCCAGCAGCCGCGGUAAUACGGAGGGGGCUAGCGUUGUUCGGAAUUACUGGGCGUAAAGCGUACGUAGGCGGAUGCGCAAGUUGGGGGUGAAAUCCCGGGGCUUAACCUCGGAAUUGCCCUCAAAACUGCACGUCUUGAGACCGAGAGAGNUAAGGGGAAUUCCUAGUGUAGAGGUGAAAUUCGUAGAUAUUAGGAAGAACACCAGUGGCGAAGGCGCCUUACUGGCUCGGUACUGACGCUGAGGUACGAAAGCGUGGGGAGCAAACA